CGCUAUUACUCCAACGCACGAUACUUUCGACGACUCCGAAUUUAAUUCCUUUUAAGACUGAAUACGUUAAUCGAUGCACGUGGCGAAAGCUUCCGAGGGAAUCAUCAGGAAAUUUAAAUUUCACGGAUCAAAUUUUUUUAAACGAUUAAUUCAAAAUGACUGAACACGUUCAUCCAUGCAUCUGCACGUGACGAAAGCUUCCGAGGGAAUCAUCAGGGAAUUUAAAUUUCACCGAUCAAUCUGGACAAACGUUUACGUAUGUUCACUACCGAGCGCACCUUUAAAUAACGGUCCGCACCCAGCUGUCCCCCAUUUUCGUUUGGAUCUCCGCGCACAAUAGGGGCUGUACGGACCCUUUCACUGUGGCCCUUAGAACUCCAGACGUCCUAGCGCAUAUGCGGUGUUCCGAGACAAAGACAUUAGACAUCGGUCGUUACAGAAUACAGAGUCUCCGGAUUCUCAAUAAUUGUCAAGUGACCGUAUGUAUGUACACUAUAACAGUAAACUAUAACAAUUUCAAGUAAAAUAAUAUUAUUCUAACACGUUCACCGUCAUGGUGGUCACCGAUGAGCGGAGCGUCCAAAUGAUUUGAAAACAAUUACAAGAAAACUGAUGCUAUAUCAAAAUAUUUAGUUACGUAGGUAGCUAAAUAAUAGUACAACUCCAAACUAUGAUACCAAACUAUUAACACUAGAUUUUUGAUAAAUGGGAUUUUUUUAACGCAGUUAUGCAAAUAUGUAUCCUAAUUGUCUACUCUUAAACCUCAAUUUU